UACAGAGGUCUCGAGCGUUAGGCGGAAUCACUGGGCUUAAAGCGUGUGUAGGCGGAUCGUUAAGUGCCUUGUGAAAUCCCACGGCUCAACCGUGGAACUGCUGGGUAUACUGGCGAUCUUGAGCCACCUAGGGGCGAGCGGAACAAGCGGUGGAGCGGUGAAAUGCGUAGAUAUCGCUUGGAACGCCGACGGUGAAAACAGCUCGCUGGGGGUGUGCUGACGCUGGAGACACGAAAGCCAGGGGAGCGAACGGG
rnacentral:rRNA from 1 species